AGCUUUGCACAGUGGCGGUGUCAUAACCAAUGAGGUAUAUCCGAGGCACAGUUAUUGCUAAUUGAAAAUUUUUCCUAAUACCCGGCCAUUAUGACUUGAAAUAUAGUUGGCAUUGGUGAAAUAAAUUGGAGAGU